rnacentral:rRNA from 1 species
GACGAACGCUGGCGGCGUGCUUAACACAUGCAAGUCGAACGAAGUGGCGCACGGGUGAGUAACGCGUGGGUAACUGCCUGGGAGCGGGGGAUCACUAUUAGAAGCGAUCGCUAAUACCGCAUACUACCAGAUGGCCCUGCGUUGUAUUAGCUAGUUGGUGGGGUAACCGCUCAACAAGGCAACGAUACAUAGCCGACCUGAGAGGGUGAUCGGCCACACUGGGACUGAGACACGGCCCAGACUCCUACGGGAGGCAGCAGUAGGGAAUCUUCGGCAAUGGACGGAAGUCUGACCGAGCAACGCCGCGUGAGUGAAGAAGGUUUUCGGAUCGUAAAGCUCUGUUGUAAGAGAAGCGAUAUCUUACCAGAAAGGGACGGCUAACUACGUGCCAGCAGCCGCGGUAAUAC